UUAAAAACAAAUCCAGCUCAGAAGCACCACACAGACAUUCUUUAAAAGUUUGUGUGAGCCACUGUGCCCUUGUUUGAACUCUUGCUUAUCUGUCCUUCUGUUGGGUUAACAACGUAAAUAAAGUCAAAGAAACUGUCCUGCUCUUUAGUGAGGAUGGGUACAUCUCUAGGGAGUAGAGGGUCUCUUGAGAUUAUGAGAGAAUGAGAUCUUUUUAUAUAUGUGCCAAAUUUUAGAAAGUCCUUCCUGGGGGAAAGACACCCGAGGAGCCUACCUGAUUUCAGAUGUUUUCUAAUCCUGAGGCUGAGCUUCUGAUGACUGGUGAUAAGAUGUGAGGGGGAGGUGGAGAAAGAGAAAAUAACUGUUAAAGUGGGCUAAAUAAAAUGGUAGGGUUUAGGUUCUGAUAGGAAAAUAUAUAGACUCUUAUACUGAGCAGUGUUGGACAUGAAUGAUACAAAACACCUAGAAUAAUGGCGAGCUCCAACUCAUGGUAAACUGAAAUAUUCUCUCAUUCCCAGGCAGACAUCAUGAG
ensembl:lncRNA novel transcript, sense intronic to SARNP